UCAAGAACGACAUUGUCAUACAAAAUAUGUCUUCACAAAAUUGGAAAAAAAUGUGAUAAUGCAUUAAUUUGUUUAAAUUUUUGUAUCACUAUGGAUAUGAAUUUAGCUUUAUCAACAAAAAUACUUCUAACGAUUGACUUUUUACAAAUGGCAAACUGGUUGAACUUAGAAAUUUAAUGGUAAACUAUGACCUAGUUGACGUCGGGUUGAUUGAAGAAUAUCAAGAAAUUGAAGAAUCCGUAGUUGUUAGAGAAGAGAAAAAUAAAGAUCAAAGUUUAUCAGUCAGUUUUGGCAAAGAAACAGAUAUUGAUAAUUAUAUAGAAGUAGCAUCUUUAAAAUCAAACACAGAAAAAGUUGUAGAGACGUGUUAUGUAAAUGUUAAGACAGAGAGUUUUUCUAUCGAAGAAAUUGAUAGUAAAAACAAUCAAACUAAGUGUAGAAAUGACACUACAACUAUAAUAGAAAAACUGAAAAAAGACUGAAGUUAAAAAUACAUAAAUGGAAAUGAUCAAUAUUUUCACUGCACUGGCGUCUUUGUUGAUGUUAUCCGAGUUCAUAAUCAUUGUGAUACUAUUAGUGCCUAUUGUAGAACCUUGCAUUUUUAGAGACUACUGGUACAAAUUCCAAAAGUUUACUCAAUAUUCUUCAAAAGUAAUUUUGCCGUAUUCGUAUCUUAUUAUUUUAAAUUCUUUUUUACAAAUCUUGUGGGAUAGAUUGUACUAUGGUGAUAUUAUCACUAACGUUGAAGAUAAUAAUCUAAUAUGGCAAUUUUACUUGAGCAAGAUUUCAAUUGGGUUGAUUUGUUCCUUUAUAACAAUGUACCUUUCCAUGGUGAUUGAGAGACUAAUACGCUUCACGAUCAAUUUGGCGCAGUUAAUGGAUUUUGAGUUUAUGUGCAGGCACGCAAUAGUGAAAGAUAAGUCAAUACAAGUUUCAAAUUCAUUCAAGGCAUCAGCAAUUCCAGAAUUUAGCCACAGUGUAAAAUUACUCGCUUUGUACUAAUAUAUUAAAUUAAUUUA